rnacentral:rRNA from 1 species
UCGGGAAUUUUGGGCAAUGGGCGAAAGCCCGACCCAGCAACGCCGCGUGAGGGAUGAAGUAUUUCGGUAUGUAAACCUCGAAAGAAUGGGAAGAAUAAAUGACGGUACCAUUUAUAAGCUCCGGCUAACUACGUGCCAGCAGCCGCGGUAAUACGUAGGGAGCAAGCGUUGUUCGGAUUUACUGGGCGUAAAGGGCGCGUAGGCGGCGCGGUAAGUCACUUGUGAAAUCUCUGAGCUUAACUCAGAACGGCCAAGUGAUACUGCUGUGCUAGAGUGCGGAAGAGGCAACCGGAAUUCUUGGUGUAGCGGUGAAAUGCGUAGAUAUCAAGAGGAACACCUGAGGCGAAGGCGGGUUGCUGAGCCGACACUGACGCUGAUGCGCGAAAGCCAGGGGAGCAAACG